rnacentral:rRNA from 1 species
AUUGAACGCUGGCGGCAUGCCUUACACAUGCAAGUCGAACGGCAGCACGGGAGCAAUCCUGGUGGCGAGUGGCGAACGGGUGAGUAAUGUAUCGGAACGUGCCCAGUCGUGGGGGAUAACGUAGCGAAAGCUACGCUAAUACCGCAUACGAUCUGUGGAUGAAAGCGGGGGACCGUAAGGCCUCGCGCGAUUGGAGCGGCCGAUAUCAGAUUAGGUAGUUGGUGGGGUAAAGGCCUACCAAGCCGACGAUCUGUAGCUGGUCUGAGAGGACGACCAGCCACACUGGGACGGAGACACGGCCCAGACUCCUACGGGAGGCAGCAGUGGGGAAUUUUGGACAAGGGGCGAAAGCCUGAUCCAGCCAUGCCGCGUGUGUGGAGAAGGCCUUCGGGUUGUAAAGCACUUUUGUCCGGAAAGAAAUCCAAUCGAUUAAUACUCGGUUGGGAUGACGGUACCGGAAGAAUAAGCACCGGCUAACUUCGUGCCAGCCGCCGCCGUAAUAC